CCUACGGGGUGCAGCAGUGAGGAAUAUUGGUCAAUGGACGAGAGUCUGAACCAGCCAAGUAGCGUGAAGGAUGACUGCCCUAUGGGUUGUAAACUUCUUUUAUAUGGGAAUAAAAUGUUCCACGUGUGGGAUUUUGUAUGUACCAUAUGAAUAAGGAUCGGCUAACUCCGUGCCAGCAGCCGCGGUAAUACGGAGGAUCCGAGCGUUAUCCGGAUUUAUUGGGUUUAAAGGGAGCGUAGGUGGAUUGUUAAGUCAGUUGUGAAAGUUUGCGGCUCAACCGUAAAAUUGCAGUUGAAACUGGCAGUCUUGAGUACAGUAGAGGUGGGCGGAAUUCGUGGUGUAGCGGUGAAAUGCUUAGAUAUCACGAAGAACUCCGAUUGCGAAGGCAGUUCACUGAACUGCAACUGACACUGAGGCUCGAAAGUGUGGGUAUCAAACAGGAUUAGAUACCCUAGUAGUC
rnacentral:rRNA from 1 species